rnacentral:rRNA from 1 species
GUAACCCUUUACCAGGUCUUGACAUCCGAUGCUUAUUUCUAGAGAUAGAAAGUUACUUCGGUACAUCGGUGACAGGUGGUGCAUGGUUGUCGUCAGCUCGUGUCGUGAGAUGUCGGGUUAAGUCCCGCAACGAGCGCAACCCCUAUUGUUAGUUGCCAUCAUUCAGUUGGGCACUCUAGCGAGACUGCCGGUAAUAAACCGGAGGAAGUGGGAUGACGUCAAAUCAUCAUGCCCCUUAUGACCUGGGCUACACACGUGCUACAAUGGUUGGUACAACGAGUUGCGAGUCGGUGACGGCGAGCUAAUCUCUUAAAGCCAAUCUCAGUUCGGAUUGUAGGCUGCAACUCGCCUACAUGAAGUCGGAAUCGCUAGUAAUCGCAGGUCAGCAUACUGCGGUGAAUACGUUCCCGGGUCUU